GGAGUCUCUGUCUAUGCCAACAUCCCCGAGCUGCUGGGAGAUGCCCCGUCUGCUCAGGCUCCGGAGCUCUCCAACUCGUUCCUGAAUCCGUCGGAAAACCUCUACGAGCCAAAGACGAGACCAGCGCAGAGACAGCGAGCGGCCCAGAGGUUUCGGCCCUCGCUGGGUCCCUCGAAGAUGGGGAUGUGGAAGGUGUUGCCUAGGCAAACCCCUGGACCAGUGUGAGAUACGGGAGAUUUCUUGGGACUCAGUCUGACCCCAAAGUUUCCACCACUAUCUCUGCAUGGGACCCUUCAAGAAUGAGCCACAAACCCCCACGGAGGAAACAUCCCCACACCCACCUGCUGACCCCCUCGACCUCAGGCCACUCUCCCCCAGCACCCCCAAAAAUGCUUCCCGGGGAUACGCCCGGUACGGCACAAACUCUCGACAGCCACAGAUGCAAGGGACCCUAUCCCAGGGCAUUCUGGACACAAGCGUCCAGCCGUUCCCGCUACAACGCAAUAGCUAUAGGUCUGCCAAUCCCCAUGUUAAUGAUGAGCUUGAUUACAGGCUUCCUAUGGGUCAAAGCAAUGUGCUUAGUGCUGUGACAGGUACAGUUCAUCAGAUCAGAUUUCGUCCCUGUUCCACACAGGGCUCACAAUCUAA